rnacentral:rRNA from 1 species
CAUGCCUAACACAUGCAAGUCGAACGGCAGCACGGGAGCAAUCCUGGUGGCGAGUGGCGAACGGGUGAGUAAUAUAUCGGAACGUGCCCAGUCGUGGGGGAUAACGCAGCGAAAGCUGUGCUAAUACCGCAUACGAUCUACGGAUGAAAGCGGGGGAUCGCAAGACCUCGCGCGAUUGGAGCGGCCGAUAUCAGAUUAGCUAGUUGGUGGGGUAAAAGCCCACCAAGGCGACGAUCUGUAGCUGGUCUGAGAGGACGACCAGCCACACUGGAACUGAGACACGGUCCAGACUCCUACGGGAGGCAGCAGUGGGGAAUUUUGGACAAUGGGCGCAAGCCUGAUCCAGCAAUGCCGCGUGCAGGAUGAAGGCCUUCGGGUUGUAAACUGCUUUUGUACGGAACGAAACGGUCUGCUUUAAUACAGUGGGCUAAUGACGGUACCGUAAGAAUAAGCACCGGCUAACUACGUGCCAGCAGCCGCGGUAAUACGUAGGGUGCGAGCGUUAAUCGGAAUUACUGGGCGUAAAGCGUGCGCAGGCGGUUAUAUAAGACAGAUGUGAAAUCCCCGGGCUCAACCUGGGACCUGCAUUUGUGACUGUAUAGCUAGAGUACGGUAGAGGGGGAUGGAAUUCCGCGUGUAGCAGUGAAAUGCGUAGAUAUGCGGAGGAACACCGAUGGCGAAGGCAAUCCCCUGGACCUGUACUGACGCUCAUGCACGAAAGCGUGGGGAGCAAACAGGAUUAGAUACCCUGGUAGUCCACGCCCUAAACGAUGUCAACUGGUUGUUGGGUCUUCACUGACUCAGUAACGAAGCUAACGCGUGAAGUUGACCGCCUGGGGAGUACGCCGAC